CCGCAGCCGGGCGGAAGUCAGCCCGCGCCGUCGGAGCUUAAAAGGCUCCCGCACGCCGCGCCGCCCCAGUGCCGGCGGCCGCAGCGGGGCCGGAGCCAGCGCCGCCGCCAGCCCUGCGGGCCCCGCGCUGCCCCGCGCCCUGAGCUCCCUUCCCCCCCCUUUCCCCCAUCCCCCGAGGGCCGGGGCCGCCCAGCUCUGCCCCUCCGCACCCCGCCGGGCCGGGGGAAGGCACCCGGCGCGAUGGCUCUCCCCGGAUCCCACGCCGCCCGGGACGGUGCUGCCGCAUCAAGCUGCUCUGGAUUGCAAAAGUGGAGGGGGGAACUGAAACGAAAUUUCCCCUUCCCCCCCGACAAGCACAGGUUUAAAGGAAAAGAGGAAAAAACCCCACGCCCCAAGAAGAAAGCGCGAAACUUGAGUUAAGCCCCUGCAGCCCCUCACCCGCGUCCUCCCCGCCCAGCCGGAGGGACUUGCACUGCCGCCCCGACCCCGUCCUGCGGCCGUGGGAACCGGAGCCGAGCCCCGGCGGACACAGGUCCGGUCCCCGCUGGACGCGGCGGGGAUCGGGCGGUCGGCGCCCAUGCACUUUCUGUUUAGGAAGACAAGUAACCAAACCACGUUGUCAAACUGCUGACCCAAGGGGGAAAUGAGAAGACUGUGUGAGGUAUUGACCGAUCUGGGAAUCGAUACAAUUUGUCUAAUGCAACGGGGGAUCGGGGGCUGAGUACAUGUGAGGGAAGAGAGGCUCCAUUUGCCGAGGGAGAGCGGGACAGCUACACCUUGAUACCAAAAAUACCCUCUCGCCAGCAGCAAGCCCGGCAGCGGCGAGGUACGAGGCGAGGAUCCAGCUCCCUGCAGACGCCGGAUCGAUGACACCGUAUUUGCAAAACCGGCCAAUCGAUCCCACUUGGCAAAACGACUGAUCGAUGCCAGCUUGCUCGUAAGCCGCUUGCAGAACUACCUUCUUCUCCCCACGCCUCUACAGACGCCCCCCGUCUUUUUUUUUUUUUUUCCCGCCCACGCUUCUGUUCUGUGAGGGAGGGGAGGCGCGUUUUCACCCCCCAUCG
rnacentral:lncRNA from 1 species